AAGGUAGCAUAAUCAUUAGUUUUUUAAUUAAAAGCUUGUAUGAAAGGCUGGACGAGGUAAGAUCUGUCUCUAUUUAAAUUAUAAUAGAAUUUAACUUUUAAGUUAAAAGGCUUAAAUAUUAUUAAAAGACGAGAAGACCCCAUAGAUCUUUAUAAUUUAUUUAAUAAAAUUAAUUUAGAAAUGUUAAUAUUUUUAUUUAAUUAAAUUAUUUUAUUGGGGUAAUAGAAAGAUUGAAUUAAUUCUUUUUUAUUAUAAACAUUAAUUUAUGAAUGUUAAAUGAUCCAGUUUUACUGAUUAUAAGAUUAAGUUACCUUAGGGAUAACAGCGUAAUUUUUUUAGAGAGUUCAUAUCGAUAAAAAAGUUUGCGACCUCGAUGUUGGAUUAAAGAUUAUUUUAGG
rnacentral:rRNA from 1 species